rnacentral:rRNA from 1 species
GACGAACGCUGGCGGCGUGCUUAACACAUGCAAGUCGAACGGAAAGGGCCUGCUUUUUCCGGGUGCUCGAGUGGCGAACGUGUGAAUAACAUGGGAGUAACCUGCCUAUGACGGGGUGAUAACUUCAGGAAACUGGUGCUAAUACCGGAUACGUGCUCCUGCUGCAUGGUGGGGGUUGGAAAGUUUCGGCGGUUGGGGCUGGACUCCCGGCUUAUCAGCUUGUGGGGGGGGUAGUGGCUAACGAAGGCUUUGACGGGUAGUCCGCCUGAGAGGGUGACCGGCGACAUUGGUACUGAGAUACGGCCCAGACUGCUACGGGAGGCAGCAGUGGGGAAUAUUGCACAAUGGGCGGAAGCCUGAUGCAGCAAUGCCGCGUGCGGGAUGAAGGCCUUCGGGUUGUAAACCGCUGUAGCCUGUGACGAAGCGUGAGUGACGGUAAUGGGUAAAGAAGCACCGGCUAACUACGUG